UACGUAGGGUGCGAGCGUUGUCCGGAAUUAUUGGGCGUAAAGAGCUCGUAGGCGGUGUGUCACGUCGGCCGUGAAAACCUGGGGCUUAACUCUGGGCGUGCGGUCGAUACGGGCAUCACUAGAGUUCGGCAGGGGAGACUGGAAUUCCUGGUGUAGCGGUGAAAUGCGCAGAUAUCAGGAGGAACACCGGUGGCGAAGGCGGGUCUCUGGGCAAUAACUGACGCUGAGGAGCGAAAGCGUGGGGAGCGAACAGG
rnacentral:rRNA from 1 species